rnacentral:rRNA from 1 species
UUAAUUCAUACAUCUUAUUUAAUUUCUGUUGUUGAUUUAUUUAUUUUUAUUUGAUGUUAAGAUUGAGGGGGAUUAGCUCCUUGUUCUGCCUUUAUAAUUGUUUGGUAUUAAUUUAGUUUUGUGGAUUUUAUGGUGAUUUUCUAUUUGAUUAUGUUAAAAUUUUAUUUGUUCUUUUUUUAAUUUUUUUUUAUUUAAGUUAUUUAUUGAAAUGUUUUCUUUAUUUUUGGUCUGUAUAGUAAUUAUUGUGUAAUUAGUAAAUUUUGUUGGUUGUUUUGUGAGACGUAUAUAAUGUUAAUUGCUUUUGAGGAAUUCGGCAAAAUUUUAUGUCCGCCUGUUUAACAAAAACAUCUUUUCUUGUUAGUUUUUGAAGUAUGGCCUGCCCACUGACUUGAAAGUUGAAGGGCCGCGGUAUUUUGACCGUGCAAAGGUAGCAUAAUCAUUAGUUCUUUAAUUGUGAUCUGGUAUGAAUGGCUUGACGAGACAUAAGCUGUCUUAGAAGUAUUGGUUUAUUGAAUUUGGUUUUUGAGUUAAAAUUCUUAAAUGUUUUUAUGGGACGAGAAGACCCUAUAGAGUUUGACAAUUUUCUUAUUUGUUCGUUGUUUGUUUUAUUUACAUUGAGUGGGAGUGAUUGUUUUGUUGGGGUGAUGGGAGGAAUAUUAUUUAACUCCUCUUUGUUUUUGUAUAUUUAUGUAUAUAUUUUUGAUCCAUUUAUUUUGAUUAUAAGAUUAAAUUACC